GAGAAAAACCACCGGCCUACAGGUCAGUACCUGGCAACUGACCUACUCGCAACACAGAGGUGGAGGGCUAGUGAUAAAAGUGUCGGGACACCUUAACCACUCGGCUACCGCAGCCCCCUACCCCGUACAGAAACAGGCAACAGGAUGGUGCACUACCUAUAGGUCAAUGUGACCUAUAAUUUGACCUUUGCUUUUGAUUGUUACAGCCAUAGCUUCCAUAUUAUUAACGGUAGAAACUCUGAAUCUGGCAUCGUCAGAGACCCACGGAUGAUUGCACUAUGCUAUGCUUCACUUAUCACCAGGUGAUACGUGUAGUGUAGCAUAGUGCAAUCAACCGUGGGUCUCCGACGAUGCGAAUCUGGUAAACGGGUUAAAAAUACAUGUAGGCAAGUCAUUUGAUUUUAUUUGAAAUUUAAUCUUUCUUAAAAAGCAUUUGUGGGCCUCAUUCCUAUAACUAUAACUCCUAAUUCCUACAACUCCGUAAUUCCUACAACUCCGUAAUUCCUACAACUCCUUAAUUCCUACAACUCCUAAUUCCUACAACUCCGUAAUUCCUACAACUCCGUAAUUCCUACAACUCCGUAAUUCCUACAACUCCUAAUUCCUACAACUCCGUAAUUCCUACAACUCCUCAACAAAUCAAGCCUUGUAGCUGGAGAUAGCUGUCCGAAUCUUAAUCAGAACUUUUGCCCUAAUCAGAUAGGUAAAGUAUUAUAUAGUUACAUGUUACUGAUGAAGGACAACCUUAUUGUCAUACAUGUACAAAACCCCCGGGUUUUAGAUUCACUACAUGUAAGUGUUUAUCUUGCAACAUUAUACAUUUCAUGUCAAUUUGAUAUAUAUUGUUUUUUUUUGCAUUUUUUUUAAUUGUUUAUAAUUUGUUGAAAUUUGUAUUUUUUUAUUGUUAAGUUCUUUCAAUUACCAAAAGUCCCAGAAUCAAGAUAUUAUUUUUCCAGUAAGUUCCUGGGAUGAAGCUUAGAUGAAGUUUAGAAAAGAAAUAGCCUUGACCCAUAUCAAGGUCACAGAGUUCAAAUUUGUUGAAACAUUAAAACAUCUAAUUAAAAAGCCUACAAUGGUCAUAUUUUGUCAGAAGGGUCUGAAUAUGAAGCCAAAUAAAUUUGUCCUUCAGGGCAAUAUCUUUGUUUCUUAGUGGUAAGUUUACCAUUAAAAAUGGAAAGAUUAGUUUGGAGUAAAAUAGUGAAAAUAAAUAAUUUAUGUAUCUGUAGAGUUUUAUAUGUGUUUAUACGUCAUCAAAUGAGUUUGUGUGUCUGUAGUUUGUUUUUGGUAUGAUUUUUGUGUACAUGUUAUAGUUUUUGUACCUUAAUUAAUUACUGCUAAUUGACUGAUAUUUUUGAUUGCUUCUCUGAUUAUUAAUUAUGUGAACAAUAAAACAAAAUCAAACAAUUCUA